UUUUUCGCAUAUCGCUAACCGGGAAGAACUAUGUAAAAUUCUGUAUGAUCGUUAACUGUGUAUUGAAAAUAAGAAAAAAUUUUCUCGUUUCAUUCUAGGUAAUUAUACAGAUUCAAAUGAAUUUUUCGGAUAAGGUGAACCGAGAAAGACAGUGUAACGAUGCGGUGUCACCAUUAACCUAAAAUUCAAAAUGAAGAAAAUUUUACAAUUUGCAUUAUUGAUAAUUAUAGAGAUUUUUUUUAUAUAUUUCUUGCUUAAUGUUAACCUAGAAAACCUAUGUAACAACGUGGUAUGGCAGUUAACCGCAAAUUCAAAAGGAUAAAAAUAUUAUUUGUACGAACACUAAUUGUAAAUUGAUAAUGAAAAGAAAUUCUACUUGUAUCAUUAUAGGUUAUUGUACAGAUUUCAUAUGGCUUUCCAGCAUUAAGUUUACCAAGAGAUACUGUUUAAUAACGUGGUAUAAGCGUUAUCAAAAAUUAAAUAAAAAUUAAGAAGGGAUUUUACAAUUUGCAUUGUAAUCCUACAGAUUCUAUAUGUCUUUCUCGACCAGGGUUAACCGAGGAAGAUAAUGUAACAAAAUGGUACGACCGUUAACCGGAAAUUCAAAAUGAAAAAAAUUUUACAAUUUGCCUUAUAGGUAAUUACACAGAUUUUAUAUUGCUUUCACGUCAAAGGUAAACCGAGGAAAACAGUGUAACAACACGGUAUCACCGUUAACCUGAAAUUAAAAGUGAAAAGAAUUUUACAAUUUGCAUUAUAGAUAAUUAUGCUGGUGUUACAUGGAUUUCCCGGUAACGGAGAACCGAAAAAAGUUGUAUAACACCGUGGUAUGAAUGUUAAU